GCCGAAGUGGCGGAAUUGGCAGACGCGCCGGAUUCAAAAUCCGGUGGGAUCAAUCCCUUGAGGGUUCGAGUCCCUCCUUCGGUA
rnacentral:tRNA from 1 species